rnacentral:rRNA from 1 species
AGCGAACGCUGGCGGCAGGCCUAACACAUGCAAGUCGAACGAAGUCUUCGGACUUAGUGGCGGACGGGUGAGUAACACGUGGGAACGUGCCUUUAGGUUCGGAAUAACUCAGGGAAACUUGUGCUAAUACCGAAUGUGCCCUUCGGGGGAAAGAUUUAUCGCCUUUAGAGCGGCCCGCGUCUGAUUAGCUAGUUGGUGAGGUAAAGGCUCACCAAGGCUACGAUCAGUAGCUGGUCUGAGAGGAUGACCAGCCACAUUGGGACUGCGACACGGCCCAAACUCCUGCGGGAGGCAGCAGUGGGGAAUCUUGCGCAAUGGGCGAAAGCCUGACGCAGCCAUGCCGCGUGGAUGAUGAAGGUCUUAGGAUUGUAAAAUCCUUUCACCGGUGAAGAUAAUGACUGUAGCCGGAGAAGAAGCCCCGGCUAACUUCGUGCCAGCCGCCGCGGUAAUAC